rnacentral:rRNA from 1 species
GACGAACGCUGGCGGCGUGCUUAAUGAAUGCGAGUCGAGCGAGAACCGGACUGAGGAAACCUUCGGGUGGAAUCAGUCUGGGGAGAGCGGCAAACGGGUGAGUAACACGUGGGUAACCUGCCCCUCAGACGGGGAUAAUUCGCCGAAAGGCGGACUAAUACCCGAUGGUGAUGUGCCAACACAUGUUGAUACAUCUAAAGGCUCCGGUGCUGAGGGAGGGGUCCGCGGCCGAUUAGCUUGUUGGUAGGGUAACGGCCUACCAAGGCUUCGAUCGGUAGCCGGUCUGAGAGGAUGACCGGUCACACUGGGACUGAGACAUGGUCCAGACUCCUACGGGAGUUAGCAUCAGGGAAUCUUGCGCAAUGGGCGAAAGCCUGACGCAGCGACGCCGCGUGGGUGAUGAAGGCCUGCGGGUCGUAAAGCCCUGUCGGGAGGGAAGAAACAGCACCUUCGGGUGCUUUGACUGUACCUCCGGAGGAAGCCCCGGCUAAUUACGUGCCAGCAGCCGCGGUAAUACGUAAGGGGCCAGCGUUGUCCGGAAUUACUGGGCGUAAAGAGCACGUAGGCGGUUAGGAAAGCGAUAGGUGAAAUCCCCCGGCUCAACCGAGGAACUGCUUAUCGAACUGCCUGACUAGAGCACGGGAGAGGGCACUGGAAUUCCUGGUGUAGCGGUGGAAUGCGUAUAUAUCAGGAGGAACACCGGUGGCGAAGGCUGGUGCCUGGAACGUUGCUGACGCUAAGGUGCGAAAGCCAGGGGAACAAACGGGAUUAGAUACCCCGGUAGUCCUGGCCGUAAACGAUGGACACUAGGUGUUGGAGGUUCGACCCCUUCAGUGCUGUUAAGCUAACGCGUUAAGUGUCCCGCCUGGGGAGUACGGUCGCAAGGCUGAAACUCAAAGGAAUUGACGGGGGCCCGCACAAGCGGUGGAGCAUGUGGGUCAAUGGGAUGAUACGCCGAGAACCUUACCAGGGCUUGACAUGACCCUGAUCCCCUGCGAAAGCAGGUCUUCUGGGCAACCAGACAGGGCCACAGGUGGUGCAUGGUUGUCGACAGCUCGUGUCGUGAGAUGUUGGGUUAAGUCCCGCAACGAGCGCAACCCUCGCCGGAUGUUGCCAGCGGUUAGGCCGGGCACUCUUCCGGGACUGCCGGAGUAAUCCGGAGGAAGGGGGGGAUGACGUCAAAUCUGCAUGCCCCUUAUGUCCUGGGCUGCACACGUGCUACAAUGGCGAGUACAAAGGGUCGCGAAGCCGCGAGGCCCAGCUAAUCCCCAAAAACUCGUCCCAGUUCGGAUUGGAGUCUGCAACUCGACUCCAUGAAGUCGGAAUCGCUAGUAACCGUGGAUCAGCAAUGCCGCGGUGAAUACGUUCCCGGGCCUUGUACACACCGCCCGUCAAGUCACGGAAGCCGACAGCACCCCAAGUCCGCUACGGCGGCCCAAGGUGAGGUCAGUGACUGGGACU